AUCAAACUCUAUUGAUGUGUCGUGGUGCUCUCGUCGCGAUCAAACUAUCCGCAAGCACACAGCUUUAUAUAUAGUUAAGUAAGUGCUUCCUGCCCUGUCCGAGAGCUCGGAGAGAAUGAGCCCGUGUCGAGAUGAUCGAGAAUCCCAUCGGCGGUCAAAGGUCCCAGCGACCUUUUUUAUUUUAUUUUUUUUCCUCUUUGUAAUCGUGUGCACACGCACACACGCGUACCCUCUCGUCUCCGUGCGCGCGUGCAUUUUUCUCCCCUUCGAUAAUGUACCAAUACGAAAAAUCUUGUGCGACCGAAUCAGAGCGCUCGAGACUCGCUCUGUACCAGUUCGAAAGGUCAUCGAGGGAGAUAAGAUUGUGAGAAAGAGUCGGGCAGCUUCUUUCUCUCUUCUUCCUUCUUCGUACACGUUUCUUAGACGAAUUUUCUCAGGCUCGAGGAUACUGCUUCGGAGUUCUCGAUUUAUCGUAUUUCUCCUCGAGUACACAUUGCGAUUAACGUUUUUCCGAUAAACGUGAGGGCUUCGCGUUGCUCUUGGACGUUCCUGCGUAUGCGUCGACGAGACUUCUUCGUUGAUUUUUAUCGCCGGGAGACAACACUGAAAGUUCGAAGAAAGGAAAAAUUCGUUAGAUUCUUAUCGCCAGUUUGUGCGUGGGUCGGGGACGAAAAUUCGUGGCAUGUAUUCUCCCCAUUUUUUCCACCGUAUUUCCGCGACCGAUUUCAUGACUCACCUAUUUUCUGCUGUUUCGCAUUUUCUCGGAACGUGUGCGACUCGGCGCGAGGCUCCGGACGCAAUCCGAAGUUUACGAAAAUUCGUCUACUCGCUUCGCCGUUAUCUCGACGCGAAUGUACACGCGAACUCUCGGAGGAAAAAAGAAGGUCGAGGAAGAACGGUGACCUCAUUCCUCGUGGGUCGAAGCUCUUCUCCGGUCACUGCAUGUUUUCGUCUCACCGAGAGUAGAGAAAAAUAAUAUAUCGAAGCUCAUCUGGGAAUCAGCGAUUCGAUGGAAAGACCAAUUUUAUCUCGAACAAACUAGAAACUUCCUUCUGAACGUCCCCUCUGUCAUUCGAUUCUUCAUUUUUAACCCUCAAAUCCUACGAGCUGAUGAAUUUUUCAACGAAAAGUUCCAUUUCUUCUCUAAACUGAAUCUCUCCUUAUUUUUACGAUCGAACGUUCACACAGCGUUUGAUUUGAUCUCGUGUCAUUAUAUUUUGUUUUGUUACGAAAAAAGGAAUAAUAAAAUGGUAGAAAAUCAAACAUUAGUGAUGCUUACAACGAAGAGAAUACUAGCAAAAUGAUAAAAUAACAGAAAUACUGUUCCAAUUAUUGUUGUUAUGACCAUUCGAAUAAUGCUCGUAAAUUCGUCUCGCGAAUAACGCUCCAUCUCUAUUCUCGUCUCGCUCGCGCGUACGUGAUCGGCAGCGCCUGCCCUUGACGCGCAAUACUCUCCCCGCGGCGGCGCAGCAGCGUAAGUGAAAUAACGUUACACAAAUUUAAAAAAGGAUAAACUGAACAAUGAAGUAAUGAGGAAGAUUGGAAAAACGGAUUUAUUCCAUUGGAACAAUGUUUUCAUUAUUAAAAUCGCUGUCAGAAAUAAAAAACAAAAAUUUUUCGAUCACUGAAA
rnacentral:lncRNA from 1 species